rnacentral:lncRNA from 1 species
AAAUCUUCAUUUUUCUGCUCUUUUCUUGAGUCAACGACCUGUAUCUUUAACUCCAUUCUUUACUUUUCUCAAAUGAGCUACAAAACAAUGCCAAAACAGGCAUAAAAUCGCUAAAAACAGCUUUUGACUCUCUUCAGACUCAUUUAUUGAGUUUUGCUUGAUUCUAAGCUCAUUCUGAGUAGUAAAGGGUGUAAUUUGGUCCAAAUUGACAUAUGAAAAUAACUGUUUUUCAACCUUCAUCAAGACCCCAAACUUAGAAUUUUGCUUGUCCUCAAGCAAAACAAAACAAAAUAACACACAAAACAAAACUUGGCUUUAUACUGUUUAAUCCAAUGCCUCAACAAUCCCAAGGUACAUGACAAAACCACUCAAUUCAAUAUCCUCAGUGAAAUCCAAAAUAAGAUGCAUGCAUGCUUUCAAUCCAGAGAUUGCANAAUAGAUGUUUUACACUAUGAAUGAUCAAUCCACUGAGCAAAAAUGUACUCAUGAAAAUUAACAAAUCAUACCAAGCAAGUGUUUCACUCAAUCCCUCAAGUGUUUAAGGUGACACUCCACUCUCUAUUGUUCACAAUUUACAUGAAACAAAAUUGUCAUUCAUCUCAAACAAUCAAUAUCCUUACAUGCAAAUGUCAUCAAAAGGACUUUUCCAAUGCUUGUAAUGAGGUUGGACUAACAAGAAAAAUUGGUUCUAGAAUGCAAAAUCCUUGAGUCAAGAGAACUAUCAAAAUAUUCAACAAUUAAGCACAACUCUCUCACCAAAAUUUCUCAUUCCCAACUUCUUCCCUUUUCUUUUCUUUUUCAUUGAGCUCAUCUAUAUGCUUUUCUUCUUUUCUUUUCUUUUUCUCAUGAAUUUUUCUCUUUUCACAACAAUUGAGCUCAAUGCCUUUUACUUGCUUUUUCAAUUUUCCCCCGUACAACCCCAAACUUGAACCUUUUCAUCACUUACAAAUAAGCUCAUCCCAACUCAAGGUAAAGAAUUUCAAGACAAGGGCUCACAUCAUGUUUAAGGCUAAGGUUCAAAAAGGGUAAAAUAUUUCAAGCCCUUUGGGUGAAAAUUUGGCUAGAGAAGGGUUUUCAAAAAUGGCCUUGAUCAUAUGACAUUCACAUGCAAUUCAAUCGAUCAUCAAGAUUAAGGCAAUAUCAUCCAUGUUUUCCUGUGAACAAUACAUAUAUCAAUAAAAACUUUGGAGCUCAAAAUCUCACACACAUGCUUUCUCACACAAAAUUCAUUCCUACACCAUGCUUAGCAUCAUAACCACAAUCAUAAUUCAUCACACAUCUAUUUCACAGAAUAUCAACAUGCAUUGCAACUUAAUUCUCAUCUACAUCAAAUAAUCAUCAAAUAGCUCCAUCAUGCACAUCAAUCAGUCAAACAUUUUCAGAAAAUGUAUUCAAGCCAAGAGUACCACCAAGAUUAAAAAUUCAACCUAUUCUAGAAAUUUAAAUGCAAAGAUAAGAAGAAAUAUAGGUUGCCUCCUAGUAGUGUUUGUUUAACGUCACGAGUCUGACCCAAACCUGGUUGGCACUUGUCAGUAAGUGCACUACCUCCCAUCACCCAUCAGUAGGUGUGCCUUCCUGGAAUCCUUCAGUGGAUUCAAAAAUUUUCUAGCAUCCCUCAGUA